CUGCUUGGCUCCAGAUGCAGUGGCUGCUGAAACCGAAGAAGGAAGAAGUGGAUGAUGAUGAAGAAUCUGAUCUGGAGAUGUUCAGUCUAUUUGACUAGAUGCAUUUGGCUCGGUCGGUAAGGCGGUGUAUCUGGGAUGGAGCUCUGAAGUACUUGGAAGAAUAUAAUGCGGGCAACAGUCAAAGAGUUCUUUUAUAUCUCCUAGCACAACUCAAGACAUUGUCUCUUUUAUUUAGUUAUUAUGUACUUUUGUCAAUCAAAGCAGUAGGGAACUUGAUCUCUUUUUAA